AAAAUAAGUAUGAACAGAUAGAAACUUCUAAUUUUUAUUUUUUUUAUGGUUUAAAUCCAUUUUUAUUUUU
rnacentral:tRNA from 1 species